rnacentral:rRNA from 1 species
UUGAUCCUGGCUCAGGACGAAGGCGAGCGGCGUGCUUAACACAUGCAAGUCGAGCGGAGAUUGCAUUUAUGUAAUCUUAGCGGCGGACGGGUGAGUAACGCGUAGGCAACCUGCCUUGCACAGAGGGAUAACACCGGGAAACUGGUGCUAAUACCACAUGAUAUCAUAACAAGGCAUCUUGAAAUGAUCAAAGGAUAAAUCCGGUGCAAGAUGGGCCUGCGUCCGAUUAGUUAGUUGGUGAGGUAACGGCUCGCCAAGGCGACGAUCGGUAGCCGAACUGAGAGGUUGAUCGGCCACAUUGGGACUGAGACACGGCCCAGACUCCUACGGGAGGCAGCAGUGGGGAAUAUUGCGCAAUGGGGGGAACCCUGACGCAGCAACGCCGCGUGAAGGAAGAAGGCCUUCGGGUUGUAAACUUUUUUGAUUGGGGAAGAAAAAAAUGACGGUACCCAAGGAACAAGCCACGGCUAACUACGUGCCAGCAGCCGCGGUAAUACGUAGGUGGCGAGCGUUGUCCGGAAUUACUGGGUGUAAAGGGCGUGUAGGCGGGAUUGUAAGUCAGAUGUGAAAUUCCAGGGCUUAACUCUGAAGGUGCAUCUGAAACUAUAAUUCUUGAGUGCUGGAGAGGAAAGCGGAAUUCCUAGUGUAGCGGUGAAAUGCGUAGAUAUUAGGAAGAACACCAGUGGCGAAGGCGGCUUUCUGGACAGUAACUGACGCUGAGGCGCGAAAGCGUGGGGACGCAACAGGAUUAGAUACCCUGGUAGUCCACGCUGUAAACGAUGGAUACUAGGUGUAGGAGGUAUCGAGCCCUUCUGUGCCGG